UACGUAGGGUGCGAGCGUUGUCCGGAAUUAUUGGGCGUAAAGAGCUUGUAGGCGGUUUGUCGCGUCUGCCGUGAAAAUCCGGGGCUCAACCCCGGACUUGCGGUGGGUACGGGCAGACUAGAGUGUGGUAGGGGAGACUGGAACUCCUGGUGUAGCGGUGAAAUGCGCAGAUAUCAGGAGGAACACCGAUGGCGAAGGCAGGUCUCUGGGCCACUACUGACGCUGAGAAGCGAAAGCGUGGGGAGCGAACAGG
rnacentral:rRNA from 1 species